UUGUGCAUGAACAUAAAGUUGAAAUGAAAAAGUUCACAGUAUUGCACCUGUGCUCUGCCCAUAUUAUGAAGGCUGUUACACAAGCUUUUGGGACAAAGACCCGUGAUCGAGGCUUAAAAGAGUAUGCAAGCUAUUGUUUCGCAUCCCUUUUAAACUGCAAUAACCUCCAAAUUGCCAUGGAGGUGUUUUACAACAUGUGUGUACUAUUUGAUGCAAAACAUUACAACCCCUUAGUACAAACAAGUCGAGCAUACCUCAACAGCUGUAUCUCCAAAAACAAGUCAGAGAAAGAUGAAGAUGGCCAUCAUACAGCAGAAGCACAGCACAGCAAAAGUGACAAAAGCAACAGCAUUAUUGCUAACUCACCAUUUACAAAGACUUUCCAAGUUUUACGGGACCAAGCUCAGGUUGACAUUCUGUCCGAGGAAUCAGAGAUCACAGAAAAUCAUUACUGCUGUCCUGGUAUAGUUGAUGUGCUUGUGAAGAACUACAUGGGAAUCAUCCCACUGUGGAGCGGAAUGUUACUUGGCGACUUAACACGGUACAAAACACCCACAUCUGCUGCAACAAAUAAAACAAGCAAAUCAAGAGAAACAAACUGCCAUGUGGAGUUGUGGUUUGGCUUGGUAAAAAAGAACAUCUUGGCCAAAAAAAAGUACCUCAGACCAGCAGACUUCAUCACAAAAUUGUAUACAUCUUUACAAGGUCGGUAUGUUGAACAUGUUAUGCAGCAUGGUCUGCCAGACAAACUUCUGGACCAAACUGUCAGAGUUUUGAAUAAACCGGCAGAUGAUCCCAAAGAAAAAUGAAACAAGAGGGAAAGUUCUGCUGGUCAGACAAAGACCAAAUCCAAGUAUUUCAAUCCCCCGAAGAUAUUACCCAAUCCCAGAACUUCCAAAGGCCCAAAAAAACAAAUCACCAAAGCUGAAGAUGAUAACAAUAAUAAAGAAUCACAGUUAACCUUGCUUUGGAAAAAGAGUGAUACAGAAGUUGUAGUAGCAGUUGUUCCGUCACAAAUUAAAGGUCGGAGCAUUGUGAUUCAUCAUUCUGACUUGUGCACUCUUCGACCACAUCAAUGGUUGACAGGGGAGAUCAUUGAAAGCCUUCUGCAUGUGGCUGCCCAUGCAUUGGGAGUCAUGGACACCUUCUACAUCCUGAAUCACUACUCAGCUGGUGUGAUUUUGUUCGGGGACAGAACUGAGCUUCCUAGACAAAGUUUACCAAAGGUAAUGGAUAUCUUUGUUGCUAUAUUAUGUCAUUAUAAGAUGAAUGAACAGAACUUUCACAGUUACACAUCAGUUACACAGAGCUACAAAAUUGACAACAAAAUUACUUCGAAGAUGAAAUCAUAUGUAAUGUGUUUAUGGCAAAUAUGUGUGCUUGUUGAUAAAAAGAAGAACAAGAUGUAUUUUUUUAAAAGGUUUGAAUUAAAAGCUGAGUUGUUUUUAAAAGAGUGUUCUGAAAGAAUUGCCAUGUUUUACUGACUACUUGGCUGUUUUAAACAUUGAAACACUUGACAAAAUUAAUGUAAUUGUUCACUUCCGUGCGAGUUCCAAAUAUAAGUGUCACAGAGGGUUAUCCAGGCAAAUAAGGAGCUGAACAUGGCAGUAAGGAUGGACAACUUCUUUAGACAACAUUACAUAAUUAAUUCCACAUGUAAAAAAACUUCUGUACUGGACACUACAUAUAAGAUUUCAGAGUAAUGUAAAUGUCAAUCAUUUAAUAAAGUAGAAGUAAGAAUCUUGAUCUAGUUGCACCCACAUUAAUCUUGGCUAAGUAAUUUCAUUUGAUAUCUUGUAUGUGUCCUACUAACUAACAUCAACAUCACUGCAAGCUUUACCCCAUCCCACAGCAGCCUGUACAGGGCAAUGUUUAGCACCUUAACUCUUGUAAAACAGUGUAUUGAUUAUUUUAUCAUUUUUAAAACACCUUCUCAUUGAAAAGCAAAAUUGUCAGUAAAAGUAAAUACUGACAUGUGGGAAAAGAUUAAUUGCGAGACAUGUGCUUAAAGUUUGUCUUUAUGUUAACAUUUAAUUUUUGAACAUUUUUAAUGCCAUUUCAGGUAAACUUUGACAACU